AGGUUGGGACUUUUGCAAUUUCCUUCGAUAAUAUGACAGAGAUAUUGCACUCGUCCCGGCCUGU
rnacentral:pre_miRNA from 1 species